AUGGCCCACAAUGCUUUGCCACAGCAAUUAGGUUGCCCCUUGCUAAUCUCUCAGAAGCUAAACAGGGUCAGGCCCAGGCAGUAGUUGGAUGGGAGACCACUGGGAAUGUCUCAUGUUGUGGGCUGGA
rnacentral:rRNA from 1 species